GUAGUAAUUUGACUGUGCAAAGGUAGCAUAAUCAUUAGUCUUUUAAUUGAAGGCUUGUAUGAAUGGUUGGACGAAGUAUAAACUGUUUCAUGUAAAUUUAUUAUAAAAUUUUAUUUUUUAGUAAAAAAGCUAAAAUUAUAUUAAAAGACGAGAAGACCCUAUAAAUCUUUAUAAUUAAAAUUUAAUUUAAUUUUUUAAUUUUGUUUAAUUAAUUUUUAUUUAAUUAUUUUAUUGGGGUGAUAUUAAAAUUUAUAAAACUUUUAAUUUAAUUUUACAUUAAUUUAUGAUUAAUUGAUCCAUUAUUAAUGAUUAUAAGAAUAAGUUACUUUAGGGAUAACAGCGUAAUUUUUUUGGAAAGUUCUUAUUAAUAAAAAAGUUUGCGACCUCGAUGUUGGAUUAAGAAAUAAAUUUAGGUGUAGAAGCUUAAAUAUUAAGUCUGUUCGACUUUUAAAUUCUUACAUGAUCUGAGUUCAAACCGGCGUAAGCCAGGUUGGUUUCUAUCUUUAAUUAUUUAUAAUAUUUUAGUACGAAAGGACCAAAUAUUAAAUUUAUUUAAAUUUUAAUUUAUAUGAAAAUAAAUAAUU
rnacentral:rRNA from 1 species